GGAGAUCUCAUCACCAGUGGAUUCAUUGCUGGCUGAUCCACUUGGACUUGCUGCUGAAGACAACUGAUGGGGCCCACAGCCCCCAUUAAGGUAUCUUUCACAGAGACCUAAGUCUCACUGGAGGACUCAGGACUGCAACCAAAGUGAAGUGGCCCCUACUUGGUCUUCCUCACAACUCUGAUGGCGGUCAAGGUUGCUAGACUAACUGGUUCCAUGUCACUCAGGCUAAGUAGAUGUGAGUGUUCAUCAAUGAUAAACUCCUUGUCUGAGUUAGAACACCUGGUACCAGCUUCUACAUGGGCAUCAACUGUCAUCUCGUUGGCUUUCCUGAUCCCCAACACAGUGCCCCUGCCCAGCAGGAAUCAGAGAGACUCAGCACACUCUCCUAACAACAGAAAGACUGGAAUGAAAGGUAUCUGCUGUAGUAUAAAUUACUGGACAUUUUUGGCAGUGGUCUAACAUGAUGGAAGGCCAAAGCAAAAAACAACACUUACCCGACAACCACUUCCUCCUCCUUCCCCAUCAGCCCUGAUCACAAUUUCCUAUUUCUUUUCCCAUUUGGGAAGAGAAUUCCCAUCAGUCCCUCACAUUUCAUCACAGCCCACCCAAGCACCACUUCUGGUCAGAGCUCACACACCCGUCAGUCCCCUCUGUUUCCAACAGAGGAAAAAUGCCCAACCCUACUAGUGGUGUGCUGCUCUCCACGUCUGCAAUAAAGACCACUUUUUGUUUUCUUUC